rnacentral:rRNA from 1 species
GCGGCGUGGAUUAGGCAUGCAAGUCGAGCGGGUGUAGCAAUACACCAGCGGCGAAAGGGAGAGUAACGCGUAGUUUACGUACCCCGAGGACCGGAAUAGCUGCGGGAAACUGCAGGUAAUGCCGGAUAAUAUCUUCGGAUCAAAGGUGUGAUUCCGCCUUGGGAGCGGACUGCGUUGUACUAGCUAGUUGGUAGGGUAAUGGCCUACCAAGGCAACGAUGCAUACCGGGCGUGAGAGCGUGGCCCGGCUCACUGGGACUGAGACACUGCCCAGACACCUACGGGUGGCUGCAGUCGAGAAUCUUCGGCAAUGGACGCAAGUCUGACCGAGCGACGCCGCGUGCGGGAUGAAGGCCUUCGGGUUGUAAACCGCUGUCGGAGGGGAUGAAAUCGUGGUGGGUUCUCCCACCUCGUUGACAUAGCCUCAAAGGAAGUACGGGCUAAGUUCGUGCCAGCAGCCGCGGUAAGACGAACCGUACGAACGUUAUUCGGAAUCACUGGGCUUAAAGGGUGCGUAGGCGGCGUGGAAAGUAGGGUGUGAAAUCCCUCGGCUCAACCGAGGAAUUGCGCCCUAAACUACCGUGCUCGAGGGAGAUAGAGGUGAGCGGAACUUAGGGUGGAGCGGUGAAAUGCGUUGAUAUCCUAAGGAACACCGGUGGCGAAAGCGGCUCACUGGAUCUCUUCUGACGCUGAGGCGCAAAAGCUAG